rnacentral:rRNA from 1 species
UACGUAGGGUGCGAGCGUUGUCCGGAAUUAUUGGCGUAAAGAGCUUGUAGGCGGUUUGUCGCGUCUGCCGUGAAUUCGGGCUCAACCCGAACUUGCGGUGGUACGGCAGACUAGAGUGUGGUAGGAGACUGGAAUUCCUGGUGUAGCGUGAAUGCGCAGAUAUCAGAGACACGAUGCGAGCAGUCUCUGCAUACUGACGCUGAGAGCGAAGCAUGGAGCGACAG